rnacentral:rRNA from 1 species
GCUAGCCGUAAACUUAACAUCAGUAUACAAUAAAAUGUUCGCCAGGGAACUACAAGCACCAGCUUAAAACCCAAAGGACCUGACGGUGUCUCAGUUCCACCUAGAGGAGCCUGUUCUAGAACCGAUAAUCCCCGUUAAACCUUACCACUUCUAGUCAUCCCAGUAUAUAUACCGCCGUCGCAAGCUCACCCUGUGAAGGAUAUAAAGUAAGCAAAAUGAGUACAACCCAGAACGACAGGUCGAGGUGUAGCGUAUGAGGUGGAAAGAAAUGGGCUACAUUUUCUACUACAGAAUAUUAACGAAUAUGCAUAAUGAAACAAUGCUUGAAGGAGGAUUUAGCAGUAAAUAGGAAAUAGAGUGUCCAAUUGAAUCUGGCUCUGAGACGCGUACACACCGCCCGUCACCCUCUGGCAGUCAA